UACGAAGGGGACUAGCGUUGUUCGGAAUUACUGGGCGUAAAGCGCACGUAGGCGGAUUUGUAAGUCAGGGGUGAAAUCCCGGGGCUCAACCUCGGAACUGCCUUUGAUACUGCAAAUCUCGAGUCCGAUAGAGGUGGGUGGAAUUCCUAGUGUAGAGGUGAAAUUCGUAGAUAUUAGGAAGAACACCGGUGGCGAAGGCGACUUACUGGACACAUAUUGACGCUGAGGUGCGAAAGCGUGGGGAGCAAACAGG
rnacentral:rRNA from 1 species